rnacentral:rRNA from 1 species
CCUACGGGAGGCAGCAGUGGGGAAUAUUGGACAAUGGGGGGAACCCUGAUCCAGCCAUGCCGCGUGUGUGAAGAAGGCCCUCGGGUUGUAAAGCACUUUCAGUGAGGAAGAACGCCUGGUGGUUAAUACCCAUCAGGAAAGACAUCACUCACAGAAGAAGCACCGGCUAACUCCGUGCCAGCAGCCGCGGUAAUACGGAGGGUGCGAGCGUUAAUCGGAAUUACUGGGCGUAAAGCGCGCGUAGGUGGCUUGAUAAGCCGGUUGUGAAAGCCCCGGGCUCAACCUGGGAACGGCAUCCGGAGCUGUCAAGCUAGAGUGCAGGAGAGGAAGGUAGAAUUCCCGGUGUAGCGGUGAAAUGCGUAGAGAUCGGGAGGAAUACCAGUGGCGAAGGCGGCCUUCUGGACUGACACUGACACUGAGGUGCGAAAGCGUGGGUAGCAAACAGGAUUAGAUACCACUGUAGUC